rnacentral:rRNA from 1 species
UACAGAAGGGGCAAGCGUUAUUCGGAAUUAUUGGGCGUAAAGGGCGCGUAGGCGGCGAUUCAAGUGACGGGUGAAAUCCCUCGGCUUAACCGAGGAACUGCCUGUCAGACUGGAUUGCUUGAGGCCGGGAGAGGCGAGUGGAAUUCCCAGUGUAGCGGUGAAAUGCGUAGAUAUUGGGAGGAACACCAGUGGCGAAGGCGGCUACCUGGACCGGUUCUGACGCUGAUGCGCGAAAGCGUGGGUAGCAAACAGG